UACGUAGGUGGCGAGCGUUGUCCGGAAUUACUGGGUGUAAAGCGCGCGUAGGCGGUAGGCCAAGUCUGCUGUGAAAUCGCCCGGCUCAACUGGGCGCGGUCGGUGGAAACUGGUCAACUGGAGGACGGUAGAGGCGAGUGGAAUUCCCGGUGUAGCGGUGAAAUGCGCAGAGAUCGGGAGGAACACCCGUAGCGAAGGCGGCACUCUGGGCCGGUACUGACGCUGAGGAGCGAAAGCGUGGGGAGCAAACAGG
rnacentral:rRNA from 1 species